rnacentral:rRNA from 1 species
GACGAACGCUGGCGGCGUGCUUAACACAUGCAAGUCGAGCGGAAAGGCCACUUCGGUGGUACUCGAGCGGCGAACGGGUGAGUAACACGUGAGUAAUCUGCCCCUGGCCUUGGGAUAGCCACCGGAAACGGUGAUUAAUACCGGAUACGACCACUUCUCGCAUGGGAUGGUGGUGGAAAGUCUUUUCGGCCAGGGAUGUGCUCGCGGCCUAUCAGCUUGAUGGUGCGGUAAUGGCUCACCAUGGCUUCGACGGGUAGCCGGCCUGAGAGGGUGACCGGUCACACUGGGACUGAGACACGGCCCAGACUCCUACGGGAGGCAGCAGUGGGGAAUAUUGGACAAUGGGCGGAAGCCUGAUCCAGCAACGCCGCGUGAGGGAUGACGGCCUUCGGGUUGUAAACCUCUUUCAGCAGGGACGAAGCGCAAGUGACGGUACCUGCAGAAGAAGCACCGGCCAACUACGUGCCAGCCGCCGCAGUAA